AGGAGUAUCGUACAACUGGUGAGUACUCACGACCGAUAAUCGUGCAAUAUAGGUUCGAUUCCUAUUAUUCCUA
rnacentral:tRNA from 1 species